AUUGAACGCUGGCGGCAGGCUUAACACAUGCAAGUCGAACGAGCGGCGGACGGGUGAGUAAUGUCUGGGCAACUGCCUGAUGGAGGGGGAUAACUACUGGAAAAGGUAGCUACUACCGCAUACCAUCAGAUGUGCCCAGAUGGGAUUAGCUAGUCGGUGGGGUAAUGGUGCACCUAGGCGACGAUCCCUAGCUGGUCUGAGAGGAUGACCAGCAAAACUGGAACUGAGACACGGUCCAGACUCCGACGGGAGGCAGCAGUGGGGAAUAUUGGACAAUGGGCGAAAGCCUGAUGGAGCAAUGCCGCGUGUAUGAAGAAGGCUUUCGGGUUGUAAAGUACUUUUAGCGAGGAGGCGGUAGUCGCAGAGGAAGCACCGGCUAACUCCGUGCCAGCAGCCGCGGUAAUAC
rnacentral:rRNA from 1 species